CCUACGGGAGGCAGCAGUGAGGAAUAUUGGUCAAUGGGCGCGAGCCUGAACCAGCCAAGUCGCGUGAAGGAUGACUGCCCUACGGGUUGUAAACUUCUUUUAUAAAGGAAUAAAACGAGGCACGUGUGCCUUUUUGCAUGUACUUUAUGAAUAAGGAUCGGCUAACUCCGUGCCAGCAGCCGCGGUAAUACGGAGGAUCCGAGCGUUAUCCGGAUUUCUUGGGUUUAAAGGGAGCGUAGAUGGGUUGUUAAGUCAGUUGUGAAAGUUUGCGGCUCAACCGUAAAAUUGCAAUUGAUACUGGCAGGCGUGAGUACAGUUGAGGUAGGCGGAAUGCGUGGUGUAGCGGUGAAAUGCUGAGAUAUCACGAAGAACCCCGAUUGCGAAGGCAGCUUACUAAACUGUGACUGACAUUGAUGCUCGAAAGUGUGGGUAUCAAACAGGAUUAGAUACCCGGGUAGUC
rnacentral:rRNA from 1 species